AUUGAACGCUGGCGGCAGGCCUAACACAUGCAAGUCGAACGAGUGGCGGACGGGUGAGUAAUGUCUGGGAAACUGCCUGAUGGAGGGGGAUAAAUACCGGAAACGGUAGCUAAAACCGCAUACCAUAAGAUGUGCCCACAUGGGAGUAGCUAGUAGGUGGGGUAACGGCGCACCUAGGCGACAAUCCCUAGCUGGUAUGAGAGGAUGCCCAGCCACACUGGAACGGAGAAACGGUCCAGACUCCUCCGGGAGGGAGCAUUGGGGAAGAGUGAACAAUGGGCGCAAGUCUGAUGCAGACAUGCCGCGUGUAUGAAGAAGGCCUUCGGGUUGUAAAGUACUUUCAGCGGGGAGGCGUUACCCGCAGAAGAAGCACCGGCUAACUCCGUGCCAGCAGCCGCGGUAAUUC
rnacentral:rRNA from 1 species